rnacentral:lncRNA from 1 species
AUGCAAGGAAAGAAGAAAGAGAAAAUUAAAACAAAAGCCAGUUCACUUUCUGACACUUCCAUUCUUGAAAAGUUUAUGAAAACCUAUGAAAGGCACUGUGCCUUUUCCCAAAGCUCUGUCAGUGGCACGAUCAAACGGAGCUUGAGAAAAUGCAUAGAAAAUGAAACUAUUCUUACAAAGUUUGUGCUCACAAACUCUCAGAAUUCCCAGCCAGUCUUCCUCACACCUCUAUUAAGGACAAUUAGAGAUGAACGGUAUAUGUUAGGAAAGGAACUUUGUAUCUGGGGAAUUCAGCUAAACGAUCAAGACAUUGUAAACCUUGCAAUGCUUUUAGAGCGGAAUGGACAUACCAACUAUCCCUUUUGUACUCUAGAAAUAACUCAUGUUCCGAUAGAUGCAUGGUCCAUGGAGCGACUUGGAGCAGCUUUCCCUUUCAGCAACUUGAACUCCAUUGUUCUAGAUUAUACCAAGUUUGGAGAUAAAGGAAUCAAUGGACUUGUUUCUGGAUUAGAGGGAAACACAAAACUUCUAACCCUCAGCUUAUGCUACUGCAGUUUGGAACCUGAAAGUGGGUCCAAGUUAGGCCCCAUUGUAGCCCAAACUGCCAUUUGCAAUCUUUAUCUAAAUGGUAACAACUUGCAAUGUUUGGGUGCCCUUGAGCUCAUCACAUCAAUAGCUAUAUAUGCAGACAAUCUUGGAAGAGAUAAGGAAACAAAUACCUUCCUAUUCAACAAUUAUUCUGAUAAUCAAGUACCAGAAGCAGACAAAGAUUUGGGUAUCCACUCAACAGCUUCUGGCUUGAACGUUGCUUCCAAAACAGGAAACUCUAACACAGUGGAAAGUAGUAUGAGGAAGGAAAAGAAAAGAAAAGAAAACCUGAUAAUUUAAAUAUGAAAUAUGAGCUACUGAAUCUUCGAUGCCUGUAUACAAAUGCCAGGAGUAUGGAAAACAAGCAGGAUGAACUGGAACUCAUGUUGUAUGAAGAAAAUUGUGACUUAAUUGGCAUCACAGAGACUUGGUGGGACAACGCCCAUGAUUGGAGUACCAGCAUUGAGGGAUAUAGCUUGUUCCAAAAGGAUAGGAAUGGAGAAAAAGGAGGUGGUGGUGCACUAUAUGUCAAGAAUGUAUACAUGUGCUCAAAGGUCCAAGAGGAAGUGAGCAACAGACCUACUGAGAGUCUCUAGAUGAGGGUAACAAGGGGAAAGAACAGUACAGUAACGCCUCACUUAACGUUGUAGUUAUGUUCUUGAAAAAUGCAACUUUAAGUGAAACGAUGUUAAGCGAAUCCAAUUUCCCCAUAAGAAUUAAUGUAAAUGGGGGGGUUAGGUUCCAGGGAAAAAAUUUUUUGCCAGACAAAAGGCAUUAUAUACAUUUUAAACAAGCAAUUUAAUACAGGUAUAAGUUUUAAACAAUUUUAAAGAAACAAUCUAAUAUUACAAUCAUCAUUGCUGAGUAUAAAGCUUGGUUGAGGUGAUGGAGUCAGAGACUAGAAGAGGGUGGAUUGUCCGGCUGCUCCUCUUGCUGAACUUUCUGAACUCGGAAAAACACAUCUAGAGAUUGUUGUUUUGCUUUCCCUUUUUUUUCUUGGUAAAUUUCUUUAUUACAAGUCAUUAGAUGACCAACUCCCCUAAUCACUUUGGAGCUGUGUUCCCUGUCAGGAUCAUCACCACUCAGGAUUUGCAAGCCAGCUCCAAUCACUUGGAAAGCUUCAGAAAGAUGUUUGGCAGUCAAAUUUCGAUGGGUUGGUGGUUCUUCUACUUCUUGGCCCUCUUCUUCUGUUGCUCUUGUCACCUCUAGUUGCAUCAGAUCUUCAUUGGUUAGCUCUUCUCUGUAUGAUUAAAGUUGUGUAACGUCGGCUUCUUCCACCUCAUCAAAACCUGCUUUCUUGGCCAAGCCGAAGAUAUAUUUCUUCAUAGCAGAGACAACAUCUUUAAAUACUUUUAAGUCAUUGACACAUUCAGGCCACAGCUUCCCCCACAGAACAUUCAUGUAUACCUGAGUAACUUCAGCCCAGGACUCACCAAUGUUAUUGAUGAACUUCAGGAUGUUGUAGUCACCCCAAAAUUGCUGAAUAGCAGGUUUGCCUUCCCCACCAGUGCCUCCGAUGAGCUGGUCGAAAGUAUGGCGUAAGUAAUACGUCUUAAAUGCAGUGAUGGCUCCUUGGUCCAUGGGUUGGAUGAGUGAUGUGGUGUUUGGUGGCAGAAAGGCAACUUUGACGUUUUUGCACAGGUUAUCUAGGUUGAGUUGAUGAGCCGGUGCAUUAUCAAUAAGCAAUAAAAUCUUGAAAUCAAGAUUUUCUUUGGCA